rnacentral:rRNA from 1 species
AUUGAACGCUGGCGGCAGGCCUAACCCAUGCAAGUCGAACGAGUGGCGGACGGGUUAGUAAUGUCUGGUAAACUGCCCUAUGUAGGGGGUUAACUACUGGAAACGGUAGCUAAUACCGCAUACCAUCGGAUGUGCCCAGAUGGGAUUAGCUAGUAGGUGGGGUAACGGCUCACCUAGGCGACUAUCCCUAGCUGGUCUGAGAGGAUUAACAGCCACAGUGGAACUGAGACACGGUCCAGACUCCUACGGGAGGCAGCAGUGGGGAAUAUUGCACAAUGGGCGCAAGCCUGAUGCAGCCAUGCCGCGUGUAUGAAGAAGGCCUUCGGGUUGUAAAGUACUUUCAGCGGGGAGGCGUUACUCGCAGAAGAAGCACCGGCUAAAUACGGGCCAGCAGCCGCGGUAAUAC